rnacentral:rRNA from 1 species
CCAGCCACCACGGUAAUUCGUAGGGGGCAAGCGGUCUUCGGAAUUAUUGGGCGUAAAGGGCGCGUAGGCGGUUUUUUAAGUUAGAUGUUAAAGCCCCCGGCUCAACCGUGGAGGGUCAUUUGAAACUGGAAAUCUUGAGUGCAGGAGAGGAAAGCAGAAUUCCUUGUGUAGCGGUGAAAUGCGCAGAGAUUUGGAAGAACCCCCGUGGCGAAGGCGGCUUUCCGGUCUGUAACUGACGCUGGGGCAAGAAAGCGAGGGGAGCAAACAGGCUUAGAUACCCUGGUAGUUCACGCCGUAAACGAUGAUG